rnacentral:rRNA from 1 species
UGCAGGUCGAACGGUAACAGGUCUUCGGACGCUGACGAGUGGCGAACGGGUGAGUAAUACAUCGGAACGUGCCCAGUCGUGGGGGAUAACUACUCGAAAGAGUAGCUAAUACCGCAUACGAUCUGAGGAUGAAAGCGGGGGACCUUCGGGCCUCGCGCGAUUGGAGCGGCCGAUGGCAGAUUAGGUAGUUGGUGGGAUAAAAGCUUACCAAGCCGACGAUCUGUAGCUGGUCUGAGAGGACGACCAGCCACACUGGGACUGAGACACGGCCCAGACUCCUACGGGAGGCAGCAGUGGGGAAUUUUGGACAAUGGGCGAAAGCCUGAUCCAGCAAUGCCGCGUGCAGGAUGAAGGCCUUCGGGUUGUAAACUGCUUUUGUACGGAACGAAAAAGCUUCUCCUAAUACGAGAGGCCCAUGACGGUACCGUAAGAAUAAGCACCGGCUAACUACGUGCCAGCAGCCGCGGUAAUACGUAGGGUGCGAGCGUUAAUCGGAAUUACUGGGCGUAAAGCGUGCGCAGGCGGUUAUGUAAGACAGAUGUGAAAUCCCCGGGCUCAACCUGGGAACUGCAUUUGUGACUGCAUGGCUAGAGUACGGUAGAGGGGGAUGGAAUUCCGCGUGUAGCAGUGAAAUGCGUA